rfam:Stegodyphus mimosarum contig37331, whole genome shotgun sequence.
GCCUUCGUGGUGUAGUGGUCAGCACGCUCGACGCGUAACCGAGAGGUCAGUGGUUUGAUUCCCGGCGAAGGUG